rnacentral:lncRNA from 1 species
AACCUAUAGGUAUGAAGAUAUAUAACAAUACCAUUUACAUAUCUUCAUAAAUCAAUGUUCCAUUUCACUAUCAUAAUAUCCUUGACAUGACCCUCCGUCAAACGGGACCUUUUCGCUAUAAUUAUGCCUGACAUCACACUGAAAACCCUCCCACAAUCAAAGUUAAAAAUAGCAGUGUUUUUGUAUUUUAAAAAAUCGCUAUCGUGAUUGAUGGUUGUUUUUCUCUAUCACCUCCAGAUAUUUGGUUUUGAAAGAUUUUCAAGUAUAAUAUCUCGCCAUAGAUUUUCUACGAUAGUUACACUUGUGAGUAGCGGCAAUCUCUUUUCCAAUGCUUUAAUGGCUACUUGUAUUGGAUUCAAAUUGUUUUGAAUAAACACUAUUUCUAACAAAAGUGACUCAUUCUUCAAAACAUCUUUUACUUUUUUUAUUGCAUCAUUAUUUUCAUCCAUACCAUUAAUAUACUGUUUGACUGAAUUGAAGUGCUUGGCAUAGUAUUCCACUCCUUUAAGCCAAGAUCCCUAAUGCGUGAGGAUAGGUGCUGAGAUGAGAGUGUUUCUAUUUUCGAAGUAAUCAGGACAGAGCGUUGCUAUUCUGUUCAGACAUGAGCUAGACAAGUGACAUGCAAUAUCAUUGGAAAAUGUUGUUUAAGGUUUUUGGCUGCUUUCAUUCAAGAUGAAGCUCCUUCUGUAAUACAGAAAAACCUUCAGUCUUUCGCCUCUGAAA